rnacentral:lncRNA from 1 species
AGAUGUGAAGUUAUUAUUCCUUAAAGAAGCUUAUUCGAGUAAGCUCAAGAACCAAAAUCAAUUCCUUGCCUUAAAUGACUUAUUUGCACUGUUAUGAUCCUUUAAUAAGUCCAACUUAAAAGUUCUUUCUUGUCUUGUACCAGUUGACUUGAAUAAGUGCUUAUGCUUUAGAAUACACAAGUCUGGAGACCAAUCUGAGAUCAUUCUUUUACUGCAGAUUUGUCUAAAACUUG